GGAAGCUUCUUCUGCAGCUACCAGGUCUGAUCUAAAGCUCACCAAAGUUAAUGAAAAGACUCCCAUUGACUUUCAGUGGACUUUGGGUUCGAGCCAUGGAGGGAAUUUGUCAAGCAAGCUCCUUCCCUUUAUUAAAUGAUGUAAAGAAAAUGGCAUUUUGGUUUAAAUGGCAUUUUGGUUUAAGAUGCUUUGUAGCUGUGGCAUUCUGCAGGGCUUUCCAUCUCACUAAGUUUGAGGAGAGAGGUCAAGACACUCCCUCCUAACACACACACAAAUGGGAGUUGUUUCUGCCCCUUGGAAAAGGAACUGAAGUCAUGCCCUUUGGCCACACCUUGUGAGUCUCUUCGGCCUUGUCUACACUGUGGGACAAACAUCAUGGUGGAGAACAUGUUAACUAACAGGAUGUUAAGUCUUAAACAUGAUCAGUUAACAUGUUUUAAACAUACCUUGUCCCUGGCUACACUGGGUGUUAAGUGGUUAUUUAAUAUCAUGUUAGUGCAAUUGUAUUAGAGUCUGUCUACACUAGGGGGAAAGCAUGUUGCAAAAUGUUAACCACGUUAAAUUUCUGCUUUCAGGGCAAUGUAAAAAGAUGCAGCCUAGAAGGACCAGUUGUGAGCACUGCCAUCUCAAAGAGAAUUGGGAAGUGCUGUUUGACGUCAGAAGAGGAACAAAUGCAGCAGGGUCGUUGUAUGGAAUCAAGAUACCAGUUACUGAGCUGAACUCAUGGGCACUGGAUUCCCCUAC